GCGCUCGGAGCAUACGUAUCGCGUCGCGUUCGGAGUAGCGGUACUCUCCCUUUUUUUCCCUCCCCGGCCUUUGUCGCUUCGUGUUCGCGUAGUAUCGACGCUCGACAACCAAGUGUGAUCCCGCGAGGCUCGUCGACACGUCGCGUCGCGUCGCGUCGCGUCGCGCCGGGUCGGCACGUGCUGUCAAAAAUAUUUGAGAGAAAAACGAUUCCGUCCCCCGAUCGCGCGCUCGGUGCGUUUGCUCGGUGCGUUUGUUUUGACAUGUGUGUAAGCUGCCAUAUUGGAUUACCGCGUCGCUGCCGCUGCUGCUGUCAUCGUCAUCCUCGUUGUCAUCGUCACUGUCAUCGUGAUCAUCGUCAUCGUUGUCGCGGCGAAACGUCCAGACGUGAGACGCGGCUUUCGCGCUAAAAAAGAGCGAUCUAUCUACGGAGCAAGCAUGGAAGCCAUCACAACGAUUACGCGGCAUAGUUAAGGGAAGGAAAAUAAUUUCUGGACGGAAACUUUGAUGUCGAAGUGGCAAACCUCGGCUGCGACUUGACAUCGAUAGUCGCCACCGGGUGAGAAUAUCUUCCGAAAGAGUUGCGGCGUGUGUGACCAGCAGAGAGAGUUCUUUCAUGGUCGGAGGACACAAAGGACGAGUGAGAGGUACCCGAUGAGAGUGGAGAGGCCGUAUCGAGGGAGCAUGGCGAACAAAGCGUGACCGAGCUCUCUAGGAGUGGAUAUGGAGAUUAAAUUGGGUGACAAGGCGGUGUACUCUCUCUCGAGCCACAAUGUAGCGUUCCAGACAGACUCGGCUAGCGGCGGCUAGAUUAUUCCGAUACGCAACAUCGUAAUAAUGAAAACAAGCGGUUCGCGAGAACCAGCUCCUUCGGAGAAUGGCGACCGCGACUCCUGCAGCUUCUGCAUUCACAAUACAGUAAAUCCUAUCCCCUUCCCAUUGCGAUCUUUAUCUCGGUAUUAUAGAUAGCGCAAUUUUCAUAAAUUGAAUCUCGAGAGCGUUUUGUUCCUUCGCGAUAAUUUAUUUAAAUGAGAUUCCGAAUGUCGCGCGAGAGGGUGAAGAGAAUCGAAGAUUGUCGCGAGUUUUUGUCAAAGGAAAAAAAAAAGAAAAGACGUGUAGAAAGCGGGAGAAGAUGGGAGAGAAAACUAUCGAGGGAAAAAAAAAAUGGAGUUAUUCCGGUCUCGGGAAAAUUCGAUAUUGGCCGCAAUGUGAGAGCGAUUGCACGGAAAAGAGAAAAGGUAAGAAGAAAAAAAGAGAGGCGCGGUGGACGGUAACGAGCACGAGCAGAAAUGGAGCACGUUCUCUAUCGGGACGGAGGGCGGAAAGAUUAAACCGGGUGACAACAAAGACCGGACGCAACGUCGUUACGUCGGUCGUGGUCGAAAACCGGCGCCUCUGCCGGGUUCCCGGCGGAAUUGGGAUGACGGUAAGCUAGGUAUGUUAGCUCGGAAAGGUUACCGAGGGUGGUCCCGGGGAUAUAGGUUGUUGCGAGGGGUUGCGGAGUUUGCGUUUCGAAGUCGCCAUAGUGACGCCCCAGAAUCAAGAGAGAAAGAGAGAGGGUAGUUCUCCUUCCAUCAACCCCGUCCAAGCCCUCUGUUUCUCUCGGCUCGUCUUUUCGCUCUGACGGUCUUCUCUCCUCGGUAUCGUUUAGGUUUCGACUUUUAGACAAUGAUAUCGGGGCAAAUGACUCGACUCUGUUCGCUGUCGACGCUUGUAUCGCGCGAAAGGGAACCUUUAACCGCGCCUCGACGUGCUUUGAUCUCGCGCGAUUAAUGGACAGGCGCGAGGGAAAACUUUAUUAGCCGGCCGAUCGUUCUUUGUGUGUCGGACGCGCGUUUCCCAAUCGCUGGAACGAAAAACUUUAGCAUUUUUCCAUGCCAUUGAAUUUAUAUGAGAUUAGAAAUACGUCAAUCGAGCGCGUCGAUUUAUACACGACUGAUCGAGAGAUUGCCGCCUUUCGCGAACAUUUAUUUAAAAAGUUCAACGCAAUAAUUAUAUUUCCUUGUUAGCUCGAUCGACGUUCGAUCAAUUAUGAUAAUAUACAGGGUGUCCGGUAA